AUUGAACGCUGGCGGCAGGCUUAACACAUGCAAGUCGAGCGAACGGCGGACGGGUGAGUCAUGUAUGGGAAACUGCCUGAUGGAGGGGGAUAACUUCUGGAAACGGUAGCUAAUACCGCAUACCAUCAGCUGUGCCCAGAUGGGAUUAGCUCGUAUGUGGGGUAAUGGCUAACCUAGACUACGAUGCCUAGCUGGGCUGAGAGGAUGACCAGCCACACUGGAACUGAGAGACGGUCCAGACUCCUACGGGAGGCAGCAGUGGGGAAUAGUCGACAAUGGGCGAAAGCCUGACGCAGCAAUGCCGCGUGUGUGAAGAAGGCCUUCGGGUUGUAAAGCUCUUGCAGCAAGGAGGCGUUACUCACAGAAGAAGCACCGGCUAACUCCGUACCAGCCGCCGCGGUAAUAC
rnacentral:rRNA from 1 species